CCUACGGGCGGCUGCAGUGGGGAAUAUUUGACAAUGGGGGCAACCCUGAUCCAGCCAUGCCGCGUGUGUGAAGAAGGCCCUCGGGUUGUAAAGCACUUUCAGUGAGGAAGAACGCCUGGUGGUUAAUACCCAUCAGGAAAGACAUCACUCACAGAAGAAGCACCGGCUAACUCCGUGCCAGCAGCCGCGGUAAUACGGAGGGUGCGAGCGUUAAUCGGAAUUACUGGGCGUAAAGCGCGCGUAGGUGGCUUGAUAAGCCGGUUGUGAAAGCCCCGGGCUCAACCUGGGAACGGCAUCCGGAACUGUCAAGCUAGAGUGCAGGAGAGGAAGGUAGAAUUCCCGGUGUAGCGGUGAAAUGCGUAGAGAUCGGGAGGAAUACCAGUGGCGAAGGCGGCCUUCUGGACUGACACUGACACUGAGGUGCGAAAGCGUGGGUAGCAAACAGGAUUAGAUACCCGUGUAGUC
rnacentral:rRNA from 1 species